rnacentral:rRNA from 1 species
AAUAUUGGACAAUGGGGGCAACCCUGAUCCAGCCAUGCCGCGUGUGUGAAGAAGGUCUUCGGAUUGUAAAGCACUUUAAGUUGGGAGGAAGGGCUUUAGGUUAAUACCCUGAAGUUUUGACGUUACCAACAGAAUAAGCACCGGCUAACUCUGUGCCAGCAGCCGCGGUAAUACAGAGGGUGCAAGCGUUAAUCGGAAUUACUGGGCGUAAAGCGCGGUUAGGUGGUUCAGUAGGAUGGGUGGAAAAUCCCCGGGCUUAACUUGGGAACUGCUUUAAUAACGGCUGGGCAAGAGAACGGUAGAGGGUAGUGGAAUUCCCUGUGAGGCGGUGAAAGGCGUGGAUAUAGGAAGGACCACAAGUGGCGAAGCCACCUCCUUGGACUGUUACUGCAACGGGGGUGCGAAGCGUGGGGAGCAAAC